rnacentral:rRNA from 1 species
UACGUAGGGUGCAAGCGUUGUCCGGAAUUAUUGGGCGUAAAGAGCUCGUAGGCGGUUUGUUGCGUCGGCUGUGAAAUCCCGAGGCUCAACCUCGGGUCUGCAGUCGAUACGAGCAAACUAGAGUGUCGCAGGGGAGACUGGAAUUCCUGGUGUAGCGGUGAAAUGCGCAGAUAUCAGGAGGAACACCGGUGGCGAAGGCGGGUCUCUGGGCCGUAACUGACGCUGAGGAGCGAAAGCAUGGGGAGCGAACAGG